rnacentral:lncRNA from 1 species
AGCAACUUGAACCAUCAUCUUCUUCACCCACACAUAAAGAUACCAAAAAAAAGGUUUGUGCUCUACUUUUUAUGUGUUUGUUUUUGCUGUCAUUUAUAUCAUUGAAGUGUAAGAGCUUGUUUCUUGUGGUUUAAAAAGAGUGGUGGUGGUGUGCUGCCACCCACGGUGGCUGUUUGGCCAUGGGAGCCACCCACACCACCUCACUUUUGUGCCAAUCUCCUUAUAGUAUUGGUGGCCGCCCCUUUAUGGAGCCUUCAUGUGCUCAAUCACGUCCAGAGGGGACAGUGGCGCCGCUGCCGCCGCUGCCACUGCCGGCAGCGCAGUUCCGGCCAGAAAAAGGGUUGCCAUGGUGGUCACCCCUAAACCCUAAACCCCCAAAUUGAUUUAACCCUGAGCCCCAAAUUGAUUUUAACCUAAACCCCUAAAUUGAUUUUAACCUAAACCCCAAAUUGAUUUUAACCUAAACCCCCAAAUCGAUUUUAACCUAAACCCCCAAAUUGAUUUUAACCUAAACCCCUAAAUUGAUUUUAACCUAAACCCCCAAAUUAACUUUAACUCUAAACCCCUCAUUUAAUUCUUUUACCUUGUUCCUGUUAGGAGAGUUAAUGCACUAUGGGACUAGUUCCUUGUCGCAUUAUCUUGAAUUGACAUUUUCUAAAUUAAAUCAAUAAGGGAUAGUGCACUAUGGGACUAGUUCCCUGUCGCAUUAUCUUGAAUUGACAUUUUCUAAAUUAAAUCAAUAAGGGAUAGUGCACUAUGAGACUAGUUCCAUGUCGCAUUAUCUUGAAUUGACAUUUCCUAAAUUAAAUCAAUAAGGGAAAGUGCACUAUGAGACUAGUUCCCUGUCGCAUUAUCUUGAAUUGACAUUUUUAAUAAAGUCAAUGAGAGUUAGUGCACUAUGGGACUAGUUCCCUGUCGCAUUAUCUUGAAUUGACAUUUUUAAUAAAGUCAAUGAGAGUUAGUGCACUAUGGGACUAGUUCCCUGUCGCAUUAUCUUGAAUUGACAUUUCCUAAAUUAAAUCAAUAAGGGAUAGUGCACUAUGGGACUAGUACCUGUCGCAUUAUCUUGAAUUGACAUUUUUAAUAAUACCAAGAAGAGUUAAUGCACUAUGGGACUAGUUCCCAGUCGCAUUAUCUUGAAUUGACAUUUUUAAUAAAAUCAAGGAGAGUUAGUGCACUAUGGGACUAGUUCCCUGUCGCAUUAUCUUGAAUUGACAUUUCCUAAAUUAAAUCAAUAAGGGGUGGUGCACUAUGGGACUAGUUCCCUGUCGCAUUAUCCUGAAUUGACAUUUUUAAAAUAAAUUCAAUGAGAGGUAGGGCACUAUGGGACUCGUGCUCUGUCGCGUUAUCUCGAAUUGGUGUUUUUAAAAAAAAUAUAAUUUAAUCAAAUUAAACUUAUUUUAGAAAGAAAUACGUAGCCUUGAUUUCUCUAUUGCAGCUAGGGAUACGUAGGAGCAGUUAUUUCUCUGUCAGGCACACACAAAAAAAUAUAUAUUUUCUCUCUCUUUAUUUUGUUUAAUAAUAUGAGGGUAAGAUUAAAUGUUUUGAAUAAAUAUCCACAUAACUGAUCUAGGUACCGUUUUUUACAACGGGCGGUAUGAGGUGCCUAAUACCUUCCUUAUCCAUAACCGACUCCCGAACCCAAUUUCUAUUUUUUGAGUGAACCAACUAUAUUUUCAAAAAUCGGCUUUUCAUGUUUUCCCUCUAAAAAACAUCGAUGACGACUCCAUUGCAUUUAAUUGCAUGUUUCUCAUCGCAUCCGUAAAAAGGGUAGCGACAUUGGGUAUAUAACUGGUCCAAGUCUCUCAUCUAACCAAUUUUACAUCAAAAUUGGAUUGACUCAGACAAUUUAAGUCUAAAAUUGGUGGUUUUGAUGGUUGAACCGAUUGGACCGGUCGAGUUAAUAAAAAAACUAUUUUUUAAAAGACAAACAAAUUGAUAUUGAUUUUAGAUGAAAAAAUCAAGUAGUUUUAACUUAUUUGAGUUUUAUUUGUCAUUUGUUAGAUUACAUUAUAAUAAAACUUUCGUUGUUUAAUUAAAUUUUAAAGUAAUUAUACGCUUUUAUUGUAAUUACAACAUAUUAUAUAUAUUGUUAGAUGAUGUUUUCAACUUAUUUGUAUCAUUUUAUAGUAGCGAAGUCUUCUUUGUUGGUUAUUUAAUUAGGUAUGAUAAUGUUUUCAAAUUUAGAAUAUAAAAUUAUUAAAUAAUGUUGUAUAAUAUUAUGAAAUUAUUAAUGUAAAUCGAGUCAAUUAAUCCAAUUAUUGACUUAUUUAUUGGACCAAUGAUUCAUUGGCUCAUUUCCUUAACUGAGUCAUUGAUCGGUCCAAGUUAAAUAACACUAGUUGAAAAAGUAAAAUGUAUUGUCAAAUUUUCAACAUUCAUAUAAUGCUAACUUUCAAAAAAGAUGGAUGGGUGUCAAUUGAAUUACAACCUCACUCCUUUAAGUAUUGUUCAACAAUGCGAGCUUGCAUUUCUUUAUAUAGGUUUUAGUUUUUUAACUCACAUAAUAAACUAUUAGAAUUAUUGAAUAAACGAAAAUGAGAAGAAGCAUGUAGCUUUAGAAACAAAGUUUGUAGCCUUGGAAAGCUAACUUUUAGGAAGCUAAUUCAAAUAGCUUUAAAAAAUGAUAACAUUUUUCAAUAAAUCAAUGGUCACUUUUACCCUUUUAAAAUUUAUCAAGUUACAUUAAUGACAAGAAAUUAAAAUUUCAAUGAUAAAUUAAUUAUACAUAACUAAAUAUGUACGUAAUUAUAAAUUAGUAUUUAUUAGAAAUAAUAGCUAAUAUUUUACAAAAUUAUAUAUGAUUAAAUAAAUAAUUAUAAAGUUCCUAAUAAUUUUAUCAAAUUCAAUAUAUUUAAUUAAAUAAUUUAUAGGAAAACUCUAUAAAUACACCUUUACAUUUUAUAUCAUUUAAAAAUAGCUAUUAUUAACUAUUUGUCUUGCCCCUUAAACUUUAACCCUUAGUAGAAUUAGUCCAUAUACAAAAAUAAUAUUAAAUUAGUAAUAAUGAAAAUUUCUAAAUUAUAUGUUUUUUAACCUCAACCCUUAUAUUAUUAUUAUUUUGUUAUAUACAUACCAAUAUUAUUAUAUUAACCAUUUUAAACUAUGAAAUUUACUUAUCCUAUUUUUCUCAAUUAUUAUUAUAUUUUGAUGGUGAUUUCCUCUUAAUAUCAAUGAUAACUAAUAUACAUUGUUGUAUUAUUAUUGUUGUGAGUAUGUUAUUGAAUUAUUAGUAAUUUAAAAAUAUAUUUAUAUAAGAAUUAAUUUCACUAACUUAUAAAAUUUAAUGAUAAUUAAAAAGAAAAAAGUAUUUCAUUAAUAAUUAUAAUUUAAUUAAUAAAACUGCAUAAAUGGUAAAUAGAUAAGUUAUAUGUCUAAGUGAUUUAACAGCCUUUAGCUAGUUUUGAAGAUGAUUUUAUCUAACAGUUCAUAUCUACACAGUUAUAACUUUUAGCUAUAUUCAUAAUUGUCUUGACUACUACAAACUAGUUUUCUAUUUCACAAAAAGUAAAAUGUACUUACCUUUAUUUUCAUUUGUGAAAAGAGAAUUUUUCAAAGUUUUUACUUUAAAGAAAAUAUCUAUAGACUAAAAAAAAAAAGAAUAAUGUAACUUUCAAUGAUAUUUUAUCUUUUUUAUUAUAAUAAAAUUACAUUGUUAUCAUCAAAAAAUAAAGGAAAAAAUAUGCAUUUGUCUCUCUUUUAAUAGAAAAAUGAAAAUCAUCUGUCCCACUUUUUCAUGACUCAUGAUGUCCCAACUCAAUUGGAAGUUGCCACCUAUUUAAAAAAAAAUCAUGAAAAUAUAAAUUAGUUUUUUAUGUUAUUUGGUGCGAUUUGACUGUAUUGAUAAAUUAUAAAUUAGUUUUUUUUAAUAUAUAGGUUAUGGAGGGAAGCAGCAACAAAAAUCUGGAGAGCUCAAUGUAAACAACUAGUCUACCUGGGUAAAGAAUCUUGGACUCAUUCUUAUCAAAACCAUAUCAUAUUGUAUCGACCGCUUCAAUUGAUAAAUUGGUGAACCUGACACUUUACUAAUAUGUUAUAUUAAUUAUA